AGCCAAUGAUGUUAGAUAUUGUCCGUACCAUCUGAGAGAUCUACUCAUUGAUGAGUCUUUAACAAUUUUCUGAGGCUG